rnacentral:rRNA from 1 species
AUUGAACGCUGGCGGCAGGCCUAACACAUGCAAGUCGAGCGAAUGAGGGAAGCUUGCUUCCCGAUUUAGCGGCGGACGGGUGAGUAAUGCCUAGGAAUCUGCCUAUUAGUGGGGGAUAACGUUCCGAACGGAACGCUAAUACCGCAUACGUCCUACGGGAGAAAGUGGGGGAUCUUCGGACCUCACGCUAAUAGAUGAGCCUAGGUCGGAUUAGCUAGUUGGUGAGGUAACGGCUCACCAAGGCGGCGAUCCGUAGCUGGUCUGAGAGGAUGAUCAGCCACACUGGAACUGAGAUACGGGCCAGCCUCAUACGGGAGGCAGCAGUGGGGAAUAUUGGACAAUGGGCGCACGCCUGAGCCAGCCAUACCGCGUGGGUGAAGAAGGCCUUCGGGUUGUAAAGCCCUUUUGUUGGGAAAGAAAUCCAGCCGGCUAAUACCUGGUUGGGAUGACGGUACCCAAAGAAUAAGCACCGGCUAACUUCGUGCCAGCCGCCGCCGUAACAC